GACGAACGCUGGCGGCGUGCCUAAUACAUGCAAGUUGAGCGAUGAAGAUUGGUGCUUGCCCCAAUUUGAAGAGCAGCGAACGGGUGAGUAACGCGUGGGGAAUCUGCCUUUGAGCGGGGGGCAACAUUUGGAAACGAAUGCUAAUACCGCAUAACAACUUUAAACAUAAGUUUUAAGUUUGAAAGAUGCAAUUGCAUCACUCAAAGAUGAUCCCGCGUUGUAUUAGCUAGUUGGUGAGGUAAAGGCUCACCAAGGCGAUGAUACAUAGCCGACCUGAGAGGGUGAUCGGCCACAUUGGGACUGAGACACGGCCCAAACUCCUACGGGAGGCAGCAGUAGGGAAUCUUCGGCAAUGGACGAAAGUCUGACCGAGCAACGCCGCGUGAGUGAAGAAGGGUUUCGGAUCGUAAAACUCUGUUGGUAGAGAAGAACGUUGGUGAGAGUGGAAAGCUCAUCAAGUGACGGUAACUACCCAGAAAGGGACGGCUAACUACGUG
rnacentral:rRNA from 1 species